GACGCGUGCAGCAGGCACGGCCAGCAGGGCGGAGUUAACCAACUUUCACACUGUGCUGAACGACAGAUAGAUAUGUGUUUAGCCGGACCAGUUGACCCUUUGUAAGGGUUAGUGUUUUUUUAAAAUCAUUUCACAGCGUUUUUAAUUCUUGGAGCAGCGUCAAAAUGAUGCGCUUCCUGCUCCUCUUCAGUCGCCAGGGGAAACUGCGUCUGCAGAAGUGGUUCACGCCCAUGACUGAACGUGAGAAGAAGAAAAUCACCAGGGACAUGACCACCAUGGUGUUGUCACGGCAACCACGCUCCUGUAAUUUCCUGCACUGGAAAGACUUGAAGAUUAUUUACAAGAGGUAUGCAAGCUUGUAUUUCUGCCUGGCCAUAGAGAACCAGGAAAAUGAGCUGAUAGCCCUGGAGGUUAUUCACCGCUAUGUGGAGCUGCUGGACAAAUACUUUGGCAAUGUGUGUGAACUGGACAUAAUCUUUAACUUUGAGAAGGCCUAUUUUAUCCUGGAUGAGUUUCUAAUGGGGGGCGAAAUACAAGAAACCUCCAAACAAAUGGUGAAUCGCUCCAUUGAAGCCUCAGACAUGUUACAGGAGCCAGUGUUAUUGCGAGUGAGAGACAGAUUUUCCUGGAACGUGGCGUAGGUUUAGUGUUUGGCUGAUGCUUCCCGCUCUUCCUGUAGGGUCAUGGCUCCGUGUGGUACAGUAGUUAACUGGGGUGACAGCAGUGAGUGGUUUGAGGUGGAGCUGUUUGGAUGACCUUGAAUAUGGACAGAAAGACAAUGGAGGAGUAUAUGAGCAAACCUGCUUUUUAACCCGUCGGAAAAGGGACUGUAGGAAGAGCGGGGAGGAAUACAGGAACAAAAUGUACUGUAAAUGAAUCGAAGAAGUUUCUGAAUAUGGAUAUCGAGUUUACAUUGAUUCUAAUGAACAUUUUGAACACAAGACAAAACUGGCAUACUGAAUGUCUGCUCCACUUCUGCCUCGAGCUUUGCUGCAAUGUAACUGCAUUUAAGUCUAAUAUUAGUAUAGAGUCAUGCGCUAAAUUGUAGGAAGGGGGAGGGUUUUUUUUCACAUUGAUUGCUGUUUUUCAAAAUGUAAAUGAAGUAUAAAAAGGAUCUGGAUUUUAGAUUUCUAAAUUUGUGGAUUAUUAUUUAAGGCUUGUAUUGAUUUAUUGGAAGUGAGUCAAUUUAUUCUUAAAACACUGCCGAUUAAUUUUGGGAAAAACUGUUGUAAUCUCAUUCGACAGUGACUAUAAUAUUUUAAUACCAAAUAAUAAUAAUUUCAAAACAACAUAUUUCAAAACAUUGUAGUGAGAUUAAUGAUGAUAAAUGUCUUACUAUUUUGUAUCUGCCUAUUCCACAUUGUAGGGACCAUUGGUCUUUCAAAGGACUCACUAGUGUGGGUGAAUAUCACUUUUUUACCAUGUGCAAUUUCUGAUGUUGGAGCUUAAAAUAAAAAUAUGUAUUUUGAUUAA